rnacentral:rRNA from 1 species
GCAGUCGAGCGGCAGCGACACAUUGAACCUUCGGGGGAUUUGUUGGGCGGCGAGCGGCGGACGGGUGAGUAAUGCCUAGGAAAUUGCCCUGAUGUGGGGGAUAACCAUUGGAAACGAUGGCUAAUACCGCAUGAUGCCUACGGGCCAAAGAGGGGGACCUUCGGGCCUCUCGCGUCAGGAUAUGCCUAGGUGGGAUUAGCUAGUUGGUGAGGUAAGGGCUCACCAAGGCGACGAUCCCUAGCUGGUCUGAGAGGAUGAUCAGCCACACUGGAACUGAGACACGGUCCAGACUCCUACGGGAGGCAGCAGUGGGGAAUAUUGCACAAUGGGCGCAAGCCUGAUGCAGCCAUGCCGCGUGUAUGAAGAAGGCCUUCGGGUUGUAAAGUACUUUCAGUCGUGAGGAAGGUUCAUGCGUUAAUAGCGUAUGGAUUUGACGUUAGCGACAGAAGAAGCACCGGCUAACUCCGUGCCAGCAGCCGCGGUAAUACGGAGGGUGCGAGCGUUAAUCGGAAUUACUGGGCGUAAAGCGCAUGCAGGUGGUUAGUUAAGUCAGAUGUGAAAGCCCGGGGCUCAACCUCGGAAUUGCAUUUGAAACUGGCUGACUAGAGUACUGUAGAGGGGGGUAGAAUUUCAGGUGUAGCGGUGAAAUGCGUAGAGAUCUGAAGGAAUACCGGUGGCGAAGGCGGCCCCCUGGACAGAUACUGACACUCAGAUGCGAAAGCGU